rnacentral:rRNA from 1 species
UACGUAGGGUGCAAGCGUUAAUCGGAAUUACUGGGCGUAAAGCGUGCGCAGGCGGUUAUGCAAGACAGAUGUGAAAUCCCCGGACUCAACCUGGGAACUGCAUUUGUGACUGCAUGGCUAGAGUACGGUAGAGGGGGAUGGAAUUCCGCGUGUAGCAGUGAAAUGCGUAGAUAUGCGGAGGAACACCGAUGGCGAAGGCAAUCCCCUGGACCUGUACUGACGCUCAUGCACGAAAGCGUGGGGAGCAAACAGG